GUGAGGACGACACGGGACGACACGUGUUACGUAUAUCAUUAUCAAACCCAUCUCCAGCAACGUAAACCUCCAGAAGGAAAAGCCAGUUUGGUGUCUUUCAUACUAGAAGGUCACGGAGAUCAUUGCGUAAAACGUGUCAUGCAGUGGUGUAGAGGUUGGGUGAGAAAGGGAAGUGUUUGCUUCAUUAUCAAGCAGGUACAAUACCCGCAAGGCUUAAAAGGUGAGGGUGAGGAAAAAAUCGUAUAAAAGGAGAGAGAAAAGGCGUAAGAAAUCAAUCGAGUGAGCAUUUCCGACACGGUAACAACUGCAGCCCACUAUCUGUCACCAACUGCCUUCUUCCAAUUCGCCAUCAUGGUUAAUUAUGACGUCGUGCUGCUGGUGGUUGUUGUAUCGUGUGGCUGGGUCGACGACUGGUGUACCGAUGUCUCCUGGGUAUGACGGCUGCCAAACCGCAACGCUAACGAUUUGUUACACAAGAACAACUUACGCAACGACCGGUUACUACACCAAGGCACCGGAGUACUACACGACUAGAUAUGCUGCCCUGGCCUACUACACAGAAUCUCCAAAGUAUUAUUCUGCCCCGAGCUACACCACCAAAGCGCUUGAGUACUACACCGAGGCUGGAUAGAAGAUGGGUGAGAACGACAAGUGUUACGUCAUUAUCAAGCAGGCUACUAUAACUGUGGGUACAACAGCCGCAAGGCUUUAAGAAUUGAGUAAGGUUGAGAAAAUUUCAUAAAAGGAGAGAAAAGUUGAUAGAUAUAAGUUGGAUGGGGAUUCUCCGACGAUAACGGCAGUGCGCUAUGUCAUUAUCUGGAUUUUGAUCAGUUCAAAU